rnacentral:misc_RNA from 1 species
AAGAAACUGGGGCCAAAACUGGCAAAGCAAUGCAAUCCUCAAUGAGCAAAGCCUAUCUUUUCAGGUCACCACAAGUGAUGGUAGGACAGUGACAAGCUACAAUAUUGUGCCUGCUAACUGGCAAUUUGGGCAAACAUUUGAGGGUGGCCAGUUUUAGAUUUUUUUUUUUCAAGGAGAAGCAACUGUUAUUUAUGUUUCUAUUAUAAUACUGUAAAACUGUUUGUGAGAAGGGGAUGGGGUUAGGGUAUAGAAGAAGGUUGGCCAAUAUGGCUGGCCGUUGCUGAGGUGGUUUAUUGGCACCCGCUAGGCCUUUUUAUAUGACUGAAUAGGGAUGGAUGUUCCCUAGUGGCUUUCUGUUUCAUUCAAAGCCAUCAAAUAUCAUUGUUUGCUUGUAAAUUUAGUCCCUAACUUGUGCUGAAUCGUAGUUGAGUUGGGGCAAUUUAUGUAAUAUAUAAACGAUCAAUUUUAUUGUCGUUUUACAAACCGCCUUUGGAGCAUUGUUGCUGUUGGUUUUCUCCUGUUACUGUGAAUUUAUGAUGCUGGGUGAGUGGAAGUUUUAUCGCAUUGAAAUGAAACAAGAAGUCGUUCUCAGGCCGUCUUAGCGGAUAAAAACUAAAGGGAAAAAAACAUGUCCAGUCACAAAAAUGACUGCAUUCUGUACAGGCAUACUUCUAGUAGGAUCGAGACUAUCAACUCCUCGAUUCCUCGUGGCUGCCUCUCCUCAUUCUUCUCUCUCCCUUUCCUCUAACAACGCAUACCUUGUAAAGAGAUCACGUCACUAUUGCCACCAUCGUCUCCUCAAGAAACACUUGCCCUUAACAUCACCAUCAUCCAUCAUGGCCCAGAUAGAAAGCUCCGCUGGGGUUUCUACAUCGCCAUCUUUUGAUGAUGGAGGGGAUAAUAUCACUGUUUUUCCUUUGUCUUCAUCGUCCGUUCUCAAAAUCAACAAAGGGGAUAUCACUAAGUGGUUCGUUGAUGGCUCCUCUGAUGCUAUUGUU